rnacentral:rRNA from 1 species
GACGAACGCUGGCGGCGUGCUUAACACAUGCAAGUCGAGCGGUAAGGCCCUUUCGGGGGUACACGAGCGGCGAACGGGUGAGUAACACGUGGGUGACCUGCCCUCAGCUCUGGGAUAAGCCUGGGAAACUGGGUCUAAUACUGGAUAUGACUCCACGGUGCAUGUCGUGGGGUGGAAAGCCUUGUGCGGCUGAGGAUGGGCCCGCGGCCUAUCAGCUUGUUGGGGGGUGAUGGCCUACCAAGGCGACGACGGGUAGCCGGCCUGAGAGGGCGACCGGCCACACUGGGACUGAGACACGGCCCAGACUCCUACGGGAGGCAGCAGUGGGGAAUCUUGCGCAAUGGGCGAAAGCCUGACGCAGCGACGCCGCGUGAGGGAUGACGGCCUGGUGUAA